rnacentral:sRNA from 1 species
UAGCCGAGAAUGUAGGAGCGCAUGCCGU